rnacentral:rRNA from 1 species
UGACCGCUGGCGGCGUGCCUAAUACAUGCAAGUCGAGCGACCAGACGAGGAGCUUGCUCCUCUGACGUUAGCGGCGGACGGGUGAGUAACACGUGGAUAACCUACCUAUAAGACUGGGAUAACUUCGGGAAACCGGAGCUAAUACCGGAUAAUAUAUUGAACCGCAUGGUUCAAUAGUGAAAGACGGUUUUGCUGUCACUUAUAGAUGGAUCCGCGCCGCAUUAGCUAGUUGGUAAGGUAACGGCUUACCAAGGCAACGAUGCGUAGCCGACCUGAGAGGGUGAUCGGCCACACUGGAACUGAGACACGGUCCAGACUCCUACGGGAGGCAGCAGUAGGGAAUCUUCCGCAAUGGGCGAAAGCCUGACGGAGCAACGCCGCGUGAGUGAUGAAGGUCUUCGGAUCGUAAAACUCUGUUAUUAGGGAAGAACAAAUGUGUAAGUAACUAUGCACGUCUUGACGGUACCUAAUCAGAAAGCCACGGCUAACUACGUG